rnacentral:rRNA from 1 species
UACGUAGGGCGCAAGCGUUAUCCGGAAUUAUUGGGCGUAAAGAGCUCGUAGGCGGUUUGUCGCGUCUGCCGUGAAAGUCCGGGGCUCAACUCCGGAUCUGCGGUGGGUACGGGCAGACUAGAGUGAUGUAGGGGAGACUGGAAUCCCUGGUGUAGCGGUGAAAUGCGCAGAUAUCAGGAGGAACACCGAUGACGAAGGCAGGUCUCUGGGCAUUAACUGACGCUGAGGAGCGAAAGCGUGGGGAGCGAACAGG